rnacentral:lncRNA from 1 species
GAAGAGAGAAGUGCAAGAUCACACUUCUGCAGCUCUUUUUUUCUCCUUCUGGCACAUUUUUCAUUUUCAAGACCCCACGUCCUCCAUAUAUGCUUUCCUGGCCCACCCAUUUCCCUCCUCCCCUUACACAGAUGGAGAACUUCCUUUCUGGUGUUCUCUCAGCACUCAGCACAGACUGCUAGUGCUUUCAUGUGCUGAGCCUUUCCCUUCAACCUGGACGGAUAGAGGAUGGCAAUCUCGCUGAAGCUGUUUCUUUUUCUUCACAACAUAUAGGAAAGUGUUGCCCCUUUUUGGAGGGGCCAUAAAGAAAAUUGAUGAGGACAACUGGCCUCCCAAUAUGUGGAUUCAGUUUCCGUAUGUCAAUUUACCCACUCCCACUGGUAGUCUGAAGAGAUAUGGCUACUGGAGAACAGAAAAUCACCAGUAUUAAUAAAAGCAAUUUUAAGUGUUUACCUUUUAGUAUUUGAAUAGCUUUGUUAAAGAGACGUACUCAAGAAUACUAUGAAGAGACUCUUAUUGUACUCCUUACCUGGAGAUAAUUGUGAUGCCAGAAAUUCAAAUUUAUAUUCAACAAUAUGGUUUUUCAACCAUCAAUAUUAUAAACAUCUAGGCAGUGUCUAUUGUUUGCGCAUUUGCCAUCCUCUAAAAUGAGAUUAUUCUAAGCAUAAAUUAUACUUCAUCAUUCAAGAUUAUAAACAUUUAUAAUAAUCAUAAUAUUCACGGACGUUUCCCUGCUCUCAAAUCACUAGAGCUAAUAGGCAAAGUAGAUACAGCUACAAACAGUGGGAGAAAAUAUUUCUGGCUGACCUACAAAUAGCUGUGCAAUAAUGUAGAGAGGAAAAUAUAGUCUCACUUAUAGUGUCUGAAAUUGAGUUUCCCUCUUUAAAGGACAAAGUAAUUUUCAAAAAUAUUUGAGUAUUAUUCUGUGUAAAAAAAUCUCUGUUUUAACUGGCUUAUUGAAUUGUAUUUCUUUAUUGUGUUUGUAUUCACUUUUCCAUUUGUGGGUGGAAUUUAUUAUAAUUACCAGUUUUAUACUGAAUGAAACAAAAAUCUCAC